AGUGACGUCAAGUCAUCAUGGCCCUUAUGUCCAGGGCGACACACGUGCUACAAUGGCCGGCACAACGGGAAGCGAGUUCGCGAGGACGAGCGGAUCCCUCAAAGCCGGUCGCAGUUCGGAUUGAAGUCUGCAACCCGACUUCAUGAAGCUGGAAUCGCUAGUAAUCGUGGAUCAGCCAAGCCGCGGUGAAUACGUUCCCGGGCCUU
rnacentral:rRNA from 1 species